rnacentral:rRNA from 1 species
CGGCGAGGGGAGUGAAAAAGAACCUGAAACCGUGUACGUACAAGCAGUGGGAGCACGCUUAGGCGUGUGACUGCGUACCUUUUGUAUAAUGGGUCAGCGACUUAUAUUCUGUAGCAAGGUUAACCGAAUAGGGGAGCCGAAGGGAAACCGAGUCUUAACUGGGCGUUAAGUUGCAGGGUAUAGACCCGAAACCCGGUGAUCUAGCCAUGGGCAGGUUGAAGGUUGGGUAACACUAACUGGAGGACCGAACCGACUAAUGUUGAAAAAUUAGCGGAUGACUUGUGGCUGGGGGUGAAAGGCCAAUCAAACCGGGAGAUAGCUGGUUCUCCCCGAAAGCUAUUUAGGUAGCGCCUCGUGAAUUCAUCUCCGGGGGUAGAGCACUGUUUCGGCAAGGGGGUCAUCCCGACUUACCAACCCGAUGCAAACUGCGAAUACCGGAGAAUGUUAUCACGGGAGACACACGGCGGGUGCUAACGUCCGUCGUGAAGAGGGAAACAACCCAGACCGCCAGCUAAGGUCCCAAAGUCAUGGUUAAGUGGGAAACGAUGUGGGAAGGCCCAGACAGCCAGGAUGUUGGCUUAGAAGCAGCCAUCAUUUAAAGAAAGCGUAAUAGCUCACUGGUCGAGUCGGCCUGCGCGGAAGAUGUAACGGGGCUAAACCAUGCACCGAAGCUGCGGCAGCGACGCUGAUGCGUUGUUGGGUAGGGGAGCGUUCUGUAAGCCUGCGAAGGUGUGCUGUGAGGCAUGCUGGAGGUAUCAGAAGUGCGAAUGCUGACAUAAGUAACGAUAAAGCGGGUGAAAAGCCCGCUCGCCGGAAGACCAAGGGUUCCUGUCCAACGUUAAUCGGGGCAGGGUGAGUCGACCCCUAAGGCGAGGCCGAAAGGCGUAGUCGAUGGGAAACAGGUUAAUAUUCCUGUACUUGGUGUUACUGCGAAGGGGGGACGGAGAAGGCUAUGUUGGCCGGGCGACGGUUGUCCCGGUUUAAGCGUGUAGGCUGGUUUUCCAGGCAAAUCCGGAAAAUCAAGGCUGAGGCGUGAUGACGAGGCACUACGGUGCUGAAGCAACAAAUGCCCUGCUUCCAGGAAAAGCCUCUAAGCAUCAGGUAACAUCAAAUCGUACCCCAAACCGACACAGGUGGUCAGGUAGAGAAUACCAAGGCGCUUGAGAGAACUCGGGUGAAGGAACUAGGCAAAAUGGUGCCGUAACUUCGGGAGAAGG